rnacentral:lncRNA from 1 species
CUGGUAUGUUAUGUUAUGCGGUAGAGGUAGUAGGAGGGGACCAGUCCCCGAGGAUCGGUUGUUAGGACCGAUGGGUAGUCAGCACCCCAGAAUGGCUUGACAUGGGUAGUCAGCACCCCAGAAUGGCUUGACACGGGUAGUCAGCACCCAAGAAUGGCUUGACACGGGUAGGACGGCACNCCCCCCAGAAUGGCCGUAUGGGUAGGUCGGCACCCCAGAAUGGCCGUACCGGGUAGUCAGGCACCCCAGAAUAGCCUGACAGUAUAUAUGUUAUGUGUUUGUAUGGUAUGUGGUACGAUGGGGGAAACUCACUAAGCUUUGCGUUUACAAUUUACAGUUUUGAUUUCAGGUGCCUCUUCAUCGAAGGGGAAGGAGCUGGCGCGGUAGCGG